rnacentral:rRNA from 1 species
GACGAACGCUGGCGGCGUGCUUAACACAUGCAAGUCGAACGGUAAGGCCCUUCGGGGUACACGAGUGGCGAACGGGUGAGUAACACGUGGGUGAUCUGCCCUGCACUUUGGGAUAAGCCUGGGAAACUGGGUCUAAUACCGAAUACACCCUGCUGGUCGCAUGGCCUGGUGGGGGAAAGCUUUUGCGGUGUGGGAUGGGCCCGCGGCCUAUCAGCUUGUUGGUGGGGGGAUGGCCUACCAAGGCGACGACGGGUAGCCGGCCUGAGAGGGUGACCGGCCACACUGGGACUGAGGUACGGCCCAGACUCCUACGGGAGGCAGCAGUGGGGAAUAUUGCACAAUGGGCGCAAGCCUGAUGCAGCGACGCCGCGUGAGGGAUGACGGCCUUCGGGUUGUAAACCUCUUUCAAUAGGGACGAAGCGCAAGUGACGGUACCUAUAGAAGAAGGACCGGCCAACUACGUGCCAGCAGCCGCCGUAA